AUGCUUUUGCAUAGAUAUGACUUCCAAUUUUCACCAAAACUCAUUUUGCUCCAAACCUGUUUUGACCUUAACCAAAUUGUAGUUCUUUUUCCAAAUGUUCCGUUUUAACCCGAACUCAGUUCGCUCCUAACCGAUUAUCCUUUCGAGUGACAGUCAUUUUUUAUGUAAACAUAGUUACCAAAAGAAUUUAAAAAAAUUUAUUAAC
rnacentral:lncRNA from 1 species